UCAUAAUUCAGCCUAAAUCUGGAACCCCACCUUAUAUAGAGGUCAAUAUAAGCUGUAAAACAAAAAUUUUUAUGUAUGACUUGAAAGCUAACUAUUGUUCUCUGCAAAACCAUGUGGACCCAUGGUAUGUUGAGGUGGAUUCCUCAAGUCUCAGGUGGACUCCCCAAAGUGUUAGCAAGUGGAUUCCAUUGUUACUUCUGCAACUUCUUAUUUUUCCUAAUUCUAAUUCA